rnacentral:snoRNA from 1 species
AAGGUCGAUGAUGAGGAUCUAAUUUCCUACAUCAUUGCCGGCCUUGACGAGGACUACGAUCCAGUAGUCUCCUCAUUGGUGGGACGUCCAGAUGCAAUCACCGUCAGCGAGGCCUAUGCUCAACUACCUAGUUUUGAGC